rnacentral:rRNA from 1 species
UAGAGUUUUGAUCAUGGCUCAGAUUGAACGCUGGCGGCAGGCCUAACACAUGCAAGUCGAGCGGAUGACGGGAGCUUGCUCCUUGAUUCAGCGGCGGACGGGUGAGUAAUGCCUAGGAAUCUGCCUGGUAGUGGGGGACAACGUUUCGAAAGGAACGCUAAUACCGCAUACGUCCUACGGGAGAAAGCAGGGGACCUUCGGGCCUUGCGCUAUCAGAUGAGCCUAGGUCGGAUUAGCUAGUUGGUGGGGUAAUGGCUCACCAAGGCGACGAUCCGUAACUGGUCUGAGAGGAUGAUCAGUCACACUGGAACUGAGACACGGUCCAGACUCCUACGGGAGGCAGCAGUGGGGAAUAUUGGACAAUGGGCGAAAGCCUGAUCCAGCCAUGCCGCGUGUGUGAAGAAGGUCUUCGGAUUGUAAAGCACUUUAAGUUGGGAGGAAGGGCAGUAAGNUAAUACCUUGCUGUUUUGACGUUACCGACAGAAUAAGCACCGGCUAACUCUGUGCCAGCAGCCGCGGUAAUACAGAGGGUGCAAGCGUUAAUCGGAAUUACUGGGCGUAAAGCGCGCGUAGGUGGUUUGUUAAGUUGGAUGUGAAAGCCCCGGGCUCAACCUGGGAACUGCAUCCAAAACUGGCAAGCUAGAGUACGGUAGAGGGUGGUGGAAUUUCCUGUGUAGCGGUGAAAUGCGUAGAUAUAGGAAGGAACACCAGUGGCGAAGGCGACCACCUGGACUGAUACUGACACUGAGGUGCGAAAG